rnacentral:rRNA from 1 species
GAUCCUGGCUCAGGAUGAACGCUGGCGGCGUGUCUAACACAUGCAAGUCGAGCGAAGCACUUUGCUUAGAUUCUUCGGAUGAAGAGGAUUGUGACUGAGCGGCCGGACGGGGUGAGUAACGCGUGGGUAACCUGCCUCAUACAGGGGGAUAACAGUUAGAAAUGACUGCUAAUACCGCAUAAGACCACAGCACCGCAUGGUGCGGGGGGUAAAAACUCCGGUGGUAUGAGAUGGACCCGCG